rnacentral:rRNA from 1 species
UACAGAGGGGGCAAGCGUUGUCCGGAAUUACUGGGCGUAAAGCGUACGCAGGUGGCCGCUCAAGUGUGAUGUGAAAGCCCCGCGCUUAACGCGGGGAGGCCAUUACAGACUGGGUAGCUCGAGGGAUGUAGAGGGUCGUGGAAUUGCCGGUGUAGUGGUGAAAUGCGUAGAGAUCGGAAAGAACACCAACGGCGAAAGCACUCUGCUGGGCCGACACUGACACUGAGAGACGAAAGCUAGGGGAGCGAAUGGG